CCCCACCAAAGCACGGUGCUUGCGGGAGCCCACGGACCCGUCAACCCUCGUGCUCUGGACCACCGCAUACCGUCGACCAGGCCGGCGCGCGGGUGGCCGGCCCGGAUGGAGGGCGCGUCGCCAGAGUUUACACUGCCAACCGAGGAGGCCGGGGGCAACACCCAGCGUGGCAAGGCCGGUUUCGGUCCCGGACCGGGGGCCGCCCAGCAUGAUUGGCCAGACAACGAGGAAUUGACGGCAGCGAGGGAGACGCUGCGGGGGUCCCCGGUAAGUCCAGCCAUCCUGCGGGGGGUGGGUGGGGUCUACGUCGUCGGGAACCCUGCAGAGCAAGGCGGCCUACGCCUGCGGGCCAGCCAGCGCCGGCUCAGAGAGACCCUACCCAGAUUGGGAGGGAGAGGUACCCGUUGAGUUGCAAUACUGGAUUCUACAGAGAAAAUGUUAAAGCAGGAAGCAUCAAAAGAUGAUGGAAAGACUACACAGAGUCACUAUACCGAAAAGAACUGGUGGAUGUUCAACCAUUUCAGGAGGUAACAUGUGAUCAGGAACCAUGGUACUGAAGGCUUUGGCGGAAAAACAAGUUUCUGGGAGUUGAGGGAAUACAGAUUGAGAUGUUUCAACAAACGGAUGCAGCACUGGAAGUGCUCACUCAUCUAUCCCAAGAAACUUGGAAGACAGCUGCCUGGCCAACCGACUAGAAGAGAUGCAUAUUUAUGCCUAUUCCCAAGAAAGGUGAUCCAACCCAAUGCAGAAAUUAUUGAACAAUAUCAUCAAUAUCACAUGCAAGCAAAAUUUUGCUAAAGAUCAUUCAAAAGCAGCUGCAGCAGGUAUAUUGACAGGGAGCUGCCAGAAAUUCAAGCUGAUUUAGAGGAGGACGUGGAACAAGGGAUAUCGCCUUAUAUGCAUGCAAAAGCUGGACAAUAAAUAAGGAAGACUGAAGAAUUGAUGCCUUUGAAUUGUGGUGUUGGAGAAGAAUAUUGAAUAUACUGUGGAUUGCCAAAAGAAGGAACAAAUCUGUCUUGAAAGAAGUACAAACAGAAUGCUCCUUAGAGGCAAGAAUGGUGAGACUUUGUUUUACAUACUUUGGACAUGUUAUCAGGAGGGUUCAGUCCCUGGAGGAGGACAUCAUGCUUGGUAAUGUAGAGGGUCAUCGAAAAAAUCCAACAUGAUGGAUUUAUGCAGUGGCUGCAAGAAUGGGCUCAAGCAUAGGAACGGUUGUGAGGAUGGCAUAGAACUGACCAGUGUUUCCUUCUGUUGUGCAUAGAGUCUAAGUCAGAACUGACUCAACAGCACCUAACAACAACAAUAGUUGUGGCGAUUGGCUUUAUGUAAUUAAAGGUUGUCAACAGAGAAUUGUUUCUGUACUAAUGGAAGAUUUAGACCAAACAACUCCCAAAGAAAGAUGCAGUAACUGCUAGAAUUUUCUUUCUCCUUUUUGGAGAGCUGUUGAGUGUAUUUUUGUUGUUCACCGAUCAUUUUGUUUGACAUGAACUUGCUGUUUCUAUUGUUUUUUUUGUGAAUUUAAGUAUCAGAAAAAAGGCAUGUGUAGAAGUUGAAGAGCCAAAGGUGUGAAUAUGAUAGACUGGGGGUCAAUAUCCAUUUUACCUUAUUUCUAAGGUGGCUUCCUAUAUAUUGGAAGUAAUGCUAAAAAUUAGGUAACCCAGGUUCUGUGUGCUUUAUGUUUGACCUAUCAGAUGAAGUCACAUGGGAUUUGGAAGACUAAAAAUAAUGUGGACAUGCAUAUGAAGAAUGUGCUUCCAUCGUUUUGGCUGCUUCAGCUGGCACUGUCAUGAGGGUAUCCAGCAUGGAGCAUAUGAAAGAGAAAUUCUUAAUAGAUGCUGGAGAGCGAUGACAAGGCAGAAGGUGAUCCGAGCUACUUCCCUUCUCCUUUCGUUAGAAUGUUAUGUCUAUAAUGCAACGUCCAUAACGCUUUGGUGCCUUUCUAGAUUUCAUGAGUAUAUUAUGGCAGAGUUCAGUUCCCUCACCCAGGAAUACAAAAAUGCCUCAUAAACACAUGUGUGAUACACGUAUAGUUACGGAAGAAAAGAGUGAAAUAAUAUCUUAUAUGUUAUUUUUAAAAAUAAAUUAUGAACUAUUUUUGAAAAGAAAAUUUUGGAAACAUGGCUCAAGGGGAUCACUUAUCCAACCCUGAGAUAAAUUAGAAAUAGAGAGAUCCCUGAAAAAGAUUGUUAAACAUUAUGACUGGCACUUUAAAAAUCACUGAAGUUUUUAAAAACUGAUUAAAUGAUUAUAUUAGUUUUCAUUUCUAUGUUCAAACAAAUAAGAACAUGGAUAGCAGAAUAAGAGCAAACAGCUACCAUCUUAGCACACUAGUGAUAUAUCACAGCUCAUAAAACAACUCUUGGUGCUAAAUUAAGUUACAUUGUUUCAUUUAAUCUUUGAUUUCAAGUCUUUGUAAGAAUGAGAUGCACUUUAAUAUUCAACUAAAUUCUGUGGGUGUGAUGUGACUGCUACUGACAACAACUGCAGGGAAUAGCACACAGUAGGAAGUCAAAAAUACCUGUUAAAUAAAUAUUAGUUAAAUCACAGCAGUAGCUAUACAAUGAUGAGACUGUAUCUAUAUAUGUACAUCUGUUUAUCUACAUUUGUACAGAUUGUAACUCUUUAUGUCAAUGUACACUGCAGGAAAUAGGUAGAAUGCUUAUGGGCCAAUGAGACCAAUGUUAGGAUAUUAAAAAUGUGUCUCCUGAAAAAAUGGCCUUGUUUUUGGCAAAUCCAUGUGGCGCUUGUGUUUCUAAACUGGUUUAUGGAAGGGAACAUAAUUUUAAAGAUCAUGGUUCCAUUAAAUCACUUUCCAUGGAGCAUCCUUGUUCUUUCCAUCAAAGCAAAAGCUACUUUUGACUUAUCCAAACUUUAAAAGAAUAAGAGAUUUGUAAAAAAAAUACACCAAUGUUAGAGAAAUAACAGAAAAUCCUGAUCCACGUUAUUGGGACAUCUGAACUAUCAGGAUGUCAUUAGGCUCAAAUAAGAUUUUAACAAUUGAAACUACAAAUAACAAUAAGGACAAAAACUUUUCUAGUCAACCUGCCAUAAACUAUUAAAAUUGGUGCCAUCAAUGUAGGUACAGACCUUUGCCCAAGGUAGAGAUGAGUCUUGUGUACUGUCCUACAGAAAAUGUUAUUUACAACUAUUUUUACAUAUGUACAUAUUUAUAAAUGUGUAAUUUACAGUCAGACAUUAAAGGGCAAUGCAGAGCUUAUAAUGGAAAUAUUUUUAAAAGUGUCUAAUAGAUGCAUACCAAACGAAGCAUUUUUAUUGCUCACCUUCAAGCAUUACAUACUUUCUUAGACUACUGCACACUUUCCUAAACUUCACAGAAGGGCUAUGCUAUGUUUAAAUGUAUAAGAAAAUAGGAUAUCUUCUAUUUCACUGCAUGAACAAAGGCCACAUUUAAAAACUAUUUAGAUUAAAAAAAAAAAAACUUGUUAUUGGAAGGUAAUUAAAGAAAUACAUUUAGUGGCAUAUGUAACAAGUUUAUUUUAUUAAGGGUUAUGGAUUACCUUUUGUGAGGUCAUUUUUAAAAUGUGAAGGCUGUCUUCAUGGCAAAUUCUUUUAAUAAAAUGCAUUUGUGACCUUGGUAUUAAUACAAUCAUGCAAAGCACAUAAUAGAAUCACACUAAAACAAAGAAAAUGAAAAAAAUAAAAUAAAAUGAGGCAAAGAAAAAGCAAUUUUUGUUGUGAUUUUGCUUAUUUCCAUAAGAUACCCCUUUUAUUAAUUUUUGAACAUACCUAUUUAUGCACUAUAUUCAAAUACUGUACAAAACUGCAAGAAAUGCCACUAUUUGACUACUUAUGUUCCUACAAAGACACCAUCAUAAACGUAUACCUAUUAUUAAAAGUCAACUAAUAACUGCUAAUGUGUAUGUGAAUCAAAAGGAUUUUAGAUUUGCCAAAAACUUUGAAUCAAGGCAUGGCACAUAAUUAUUAAAUUUUAUUUGUAUAUUCCAGGGGCAUAAAGAGUAUUUUUAAACUAUUAAAAGAAAAAUGUAUAUAUUUUGUUGUUAUUGUUGUUGGGUGCCAUCGAGUCAAUUUUGACUCAUAGCAACCCAAUCUGGCAGGACAGGACUGCCCCACAGGGUUUUCUUCUCUGUAAUCUUUACAGAAGCAGAUCAUGAAUUUCACCCAUUAGUAAUUACUAAUUAUAUAAAAUUGUAAGUUGUGGCUUCUAACUUACCUACCUGUACGUGUGACUGUCUUUUUAAUUUGCAGUAACUACCUGUGUGUGGUUUUUAAUUUAGCCCUGUGUGUGUGUGUGUGUAUAUGCGUGCGUAUGCAUUUUAAAUAAUCCACUAUCUGUUGGUGAUGUUUCAAAGUUUCAGGUUAGAAAAAUUCAGCUCUUACCAAAAUCUCUUCUGGUAUACAAAGGUGUUGUAAAUUUGAGUCAGCGGAAUUUAAGUCGUAAUUUACAAAAGCGGAUUUACAUUAAUUCUUAACUGAAAGAGCUGCUUUCAAGACAGAAAAAUGUGCCAAUUAACUGCCCUUUCCUUUAGAAUUAGUGGCUUCUGGGUCCUGAUGAAAAGAAGCCUUAAGGCAGAAUUUGCAGUAAACAGGAAGGAAGAGAAUCAGGUAAGUGCUCAUCUAUAUACUGUGACACCUAUGAAUUCUCAUCAGUGGGAGUUUUUGGCACAAUUUUCUAAUCCAAUAUGAAUGUUGCUCCACAGUAGCCAAACUGGAUGCUUUUUCCAGUCUCCAGCACCAAGAAAAUUUAGCUGAUCAAUUUCAAUACAACACAUACCUGGAAAGAGUAAGACACUUUUUUUUUUUUUUAAAGGUCUUUUCCAAAGAUGAAAAUGAUUUGUUAGAUUUCAAUUAUUACUUUCAAAUAAGCUCAGAAGCUAUAAAUGUAAUGACCAUGACAUUCCAAUUGUUAUUAAAUUCUAGGCAUAAUUAACAUCCUGUCAAGAGGUGACCUGUGUAAUUAUUUAAGCUCAACAUGCUGUAAUGUGUACAUGGCUGUAGAUACUACACACAGUAAUUAAAAGCUGAUUUUCAAUAAUUUCUAGUUUUUCUUCUUUAGUGUGCCAAGCUUCCAAUUACCUUUGCAGGGAUUCUGAGCACUCAGGAGGGGAACUGAUAUUGCAGCUAUCAGGCCCUGCUAUUUAGAAGAAUUUGUCUUUGAAUGACAACCUUAUCUUACAUCAUAAUUAGGCAGCAGUAGAAAAUACUCCAUAUUUAAUGCCUCAAACAAAAGCAUCCAUUAAAGUGUGGUGUAGGUCCCCCAUUUUCAUCUCUGCUGAAGAAGAAAUAAAUCAGGACAUGUGAAAUCCACUUUAAACCAGUUCCUAGGUAACUCUUUUACAAGGCCAUGGCUCCUUUGGCAUGGGGUGCUUUCUGUCUGCCGUUCCAUGGGUUAGCAAAUGCGUGACUCAAUUAGAGAUCUACCAGUAAGCUACAUCACUAUAGACAUACUGUACAUGUUGGUUCACAAAUUAGCAGCUAUUAGUCGGACUGUACAUGGCAAAACAAACCGAGUUUAAUGUUGCUCUAUAUCCCAAAGAUAACCCUGGGUCUAGGUUCAAGGACUGAACCCUAAUACAGGUUCCCUGUUUAAAUAUGUAGCCCAGUAAACUAAAUUAAACGUACCAAACAAGACUGGGAAAACUAUUCUAGACAUUCUGUCAAUUUUGCUAACACUGUUGAAGGUUUUCUUGGCUUCAGCUGGCUUGUUUUCCGGUUUCUUGUUGGGUUCUGGUGUGGUUGCGCUCUUGGAGAUGGUGGAGAGAACUGGAUCUUUUGAAAGGUUUGGGGCAUAAUUGGCAACAGCCACCGCGUAAGCAUUGUUCUGUAUCAUCACAGAGGCUUUCUCUUUUUUCUAUUGAAAAACACAAGAAAUCACAGAGUAUGGGUUGAGCCAGCUACAUACCAUUUUCUGCAGGUAAUUAUCUUGAUAAACAUUGUUAUCCAUUAGAAAGAAUGAAUUUAGGAAGUUAAAUAAAAAGGUUCUAAGUCCUAAAAACAUGAGAACGAGGAAGGCCUCAGAGGAAAACCAUUGGUACCAUUUUCCUGGAGAACCAUGCUUUGCUACUGACAACAACAAAACAAAUAAUCAAAAGAUACAACUUUAAUAAAUGAGACAGUAUUUUUGACUCUUAGGAGUCACUCAAAUAUUUGUUGAGUGGAUUAAAAAGCAAAAUAUGAAAACAUUUUAACAACAGAAAUGAUCACCUACAAUGAAUGAUUCUAACUUGUGAAUAAAGAAAUUUAAUUUCUGUAACUUCAUAAAAGGAUUCUCCUCCGCCUCGCUUUAUGUCAAAAUCAUACAGCAAUUGCUUUACUCAGAUCAUGGGAAACUGCAACUGUAUGCAGAUGGUAGUACAAUAAAUACUCAAAAUACAGAAGAAAAAUAAAACACAAACCUGGGUUUUUGCCUAUCUCCUCCCACUCCUUCUUAUAAUUUUCAGUUUAGUUACAACCGGCCCUAGUUGGGUCUGCUGCCUAGACCAGGCAAUACUCCUUUGUAGUCUCCCUGCUUCUUUUGACACAAUCCAAUCAUAAGAUACACUAAAGCCACAGGAAUCUUUUUUAAAACAUAAACUGGAUUAUGCCACUUCUCUGUUAAAAUCUUUUAAACAGCAUCCAAUGGAACUUAGAAUAAAACUAACACUUCUUCUCAUGGCCUCUUUCCUUUGCUUAUUACACACCAGUCCCAGGGGAUGAAUUUCAGUUUUUAGAGUAUUUCCUUGCCUUGGUACCUUUGGUGAUGUUAGUUCCUUAGCCGAAUGCCUUCCCCUACCCCAUCUUUCAUAUGACUACUUCUCCCUCACUGGGAACAUUGGUGGUUCAGUGGUAGAAUUCUCACUUUCUGUGAGGGAGAUCUGGGUUUGAUUCCCAUCCAAUGUACCUCAAAUGCAGCCACCACUCGUCCAUUACUGGAGGUUUGUGUGUUGUUAUGAUGCUGAAUAGGUUUUAGUGGAGUUUCCAGACUAAGGCAGACUAGUAAGAAAGGCCUGGCAAUCUACUUCCAAAAAUCAGUCAAUGAAAACCCUAUGGAUCACAAUGGUCACGUCCGCAACCGAUCAUGGGGUUGGCUGGGGACCAGGCAGCAUUUCAUUCCAUUGUGCAUGGGCAUGGUGUUACCUCAAGUCUAGGGUAACUCAGUGGCAGCCAACAGCAACAACAGCACUUUCUUCUCACCUUUUGGUUUCUAUUUAAACAUCAUUUCCUCAGACAGGCCUUCCCCAACCACUCUAGCCAACCUAUUCUCCAUGCCCCAGAUGUCCUUUCAUAGCACCCAGUUUCUUCCCGUCACGGCAUUUUUCACUAUGUGUGAAUGCUUCCUCUACUUGUGUGAUUGUUUCACUGAUGUCUUCCUUCCCUAAAUUCUAUGAAGGCCAGCGCCAGUUUUGUCUUGUUAAGCUUAGUAACAUUAGCACUCAGCAUGAUGCCUUCCACCAGGUAGGCACAAAAUAAACUGAAAAACCAAAUUCAUUAUCAUCAAGUUGAUUCUGAUGCAUAGAGGCCCUAUAUGACAGAGGAGAAUUGCCCCACAGGGUUCCAAAGUUGUAAUCUUUACAGAAGCAGACUGCCACAUCUUUCUCCUGCAGAGUGGCACAUAAUAAGUAGUUCAAUUAAUGAAACCUGAAAAUAUAAAGAGUAUUUACCUGCAUUUCUAUGCUAAUAUAAGGAGCCCUGGUAGUGCAAUGGUUAAGUGUUUGGCUACUAACCAAAAUGUUUGCAGUGCAAAUUCAACAGCAGCUCUGCAGGAGAAGAGACCUGGCAAUCUGCUCCCAGAAAGAUUUCAACCUAGGAAACCCUAAGGGCAGUUAACCAAAAAAAACCAAGCCCACUGCUGUCGAGUCAAUUCUGACUCAUAGCGACUGUACAGGAUAGAGUAGAACUGCCCCACAGGGUUUCCAAGGAGCGCCUGGUGGAUUUGAACUGCUGGCCUUUUGGUUAGCAGCCAUAGCACUUAACCACUAUGCAACCAGGGUUUCCAGUUAUACCCUGUCAUAUAGGGUCAUGAUGAGUUGGAAUCGACUUGAUGGUACACAAAACACACACACACGCAAACACACACCAAUAUAAAUGAAUUAUUUGUUAUCUAAAUGCAAACAAAAUUCAGCCAACAUUUAAUUAUCCAAAAUAGUGAGGUUUACAGGAGAGAUUGCCCUAGAACAAACUUUGGAGUAUUAGUUAAUUUGAAUUAAGAAUUCUCAAAAUGUUCAAGUAAAAUCAGAUAAGAAAUGGGCUCUGAAAGCCCAGGAGGAUCUGCAAACAUGCCUGGGUUUCCCAGUUCUUCUUCUCCUUUCCCCUCCUACUAAUAAAGCUUCCACCCAGGCCUGGCUGGAGUAUAAAAGGAGAAGGAGUAAGAAAUCACCAUUUGUAACUUUAUAAAACCAAACCAAACCCAUUGCCACUGAGUCGAUUACAGUUCAUAGCGAGCCUAUAGGACGGAGUAGAACUGCCCCAUAUGGUUUCCAAGGCUGUAAAUCUUUACAGAAGCAGACUGCCACAUCUUUCUGUCGUGGAGAAGCUGGUGGGUUCAAACCACCGAACUUUUAGUUAGCAGCCAAGCACUUAACCACUGUUUCAAGAACCCAGUGGUUGGUACCUGUAAUUUCUUACCAUUUCAUUGAAUGAAGGGCAGGGCAUACCUAUGGUGCCACACCAUAACAAUUCCUAGCCACUGCUCAGCAUAGGCUUUUCUUAGCAGCUCCAAUUUUUAUAGUUAUUUUACAAAUAACUUACUAAGUUAUUUUAAAGAAGAAAACAACUCCUCUUACCACACUUCAAAAUAAUUACUUCAAAUCUACACUAAAGCACACUGUUCCUAUCUAUUUAAAAUUAAAAUCAUCUAUAUGUUUUUUGGGUUUUAUAUGGAAAAAAUAUCAUUUGAUUCAUAACUGACUUACAACUGUAAGGAUUUCUGAAGCAAAAGAUAAAGUCCACACAAUCCGCUCUGUGGAAGCCCUGGUGGUGUAGUGGUUAAGACCUACAGCUGCUAACCAAAAGGUCGGCAGUUCGAAUCCGCCAGGUGCUCCUUGGAAACGCUAUGGAGCAGUUCUACUCUGUCAUACAGGUUUGCUGUAAGUCGGAAUCGACUAGACGGCAAUGGGGUAUGGGGGUUAAUGCAUUCUGUUACUGUUUUUUGUAAGAUAUAGGUCUGUUAGUGCCACAGCAAAGACUCUGUACAGUAGGCCAUUGACAAGAGAUAGUACCAUGUCCCAUCUCCUACCAACUUCUACUAACAAUAACCAGCUUAAGAGGAUGUGUAUAACAAAUACCUCUUUAAAUACUACACAGACCUCAGAUCAAGCCACAUCAUCAGCAGGCUGCAUACUUUAUUUAGUGUAAUCCUUGGUUUACAUUCAGACCCUUGAAGAAAAAUAGUCCAGUGAAAUCUAUUGCAUUAACUGUUCAAAACAGUACUUGCUGCUUCCCAUUAGGGUUUUUUUUUUUUUUUAAGUCCAGGUCCCUGAAAAUUUUUUUUUCUUUUGAGAACUAGGCAAAUUCUAAUAAUUCAUACUACCUAACUUCCCAUAUGCUAAUUUUAACUCCCUGAAAUAAUUAAUUCUGUAUUUCUACUUUAAAGCACUUAGAUAGACCAUUUACUAUCAUUUGAAGAGUAAAAUCAGGUAGAGUUGAAAAUAUGCACAAGUAUAGGCUGGGUUCCUGAAGUAAAGAGAAGAAUGUUAAAAGGUAAUGAAAACAGAUAAAAGGAGAAUGGGGGAAUUGAAAGCAACCUGGCACUGCUAUUUUCCAUUAAUUUUAAGUGACUCUCAUGGUAUUUGCUACCUUUACAUGGAUGAUUGACACAUACAUUUAUCUCUUUCCAGAUUUCAAAACCACCGUUUCACUAGAAUUCUCCAGCUAUAUGUCCCACAGGUACUUAAAACUUAAAAUAUCCAGAAAUGAAUUCACCUUACUCUCACUCCCAGCCCAAAUCUGUAUACCCUCCCUGGCCUCUGAAUGGAACCAUAAGAGAGACAGAAACUGGUAAAUAACUCCAACUGGUCCCCAAGUCUUGCAGGUUUUACCUCACCAUCACUAGGCUAACAAUGACUCAGCUCAGAGUCACUACUCAGAUGUCACUUCCCCAUGCCUGCAUUAAGAACCCCUUCCAUGAGCUUUCACGGCACCCCAGUGCUUGCUUUUACAAUGGCAUAUAUAUAUAUUACUUCUCUUUUUUAUAGGGUCCUUGAAGGCACAGACUGUGUACUGUAAAGCUCCUAGCAUAGCUCCUGGCACACAGCAGGCUCAAAAACUGUUUGCUUGAUAAAUAAACGAAUGAUGUACUAGGAUGAUUACUAUGAUCUAUCCAUCCAUCCAUCCAUCCAUCCAUCCAUCCAUCCAUCCAUCCAUCCAUCCAUCCAUCCACACAUCCAUCCAUCUAAUAUAAAGAAUAUAUUUAAUAGAAUAUAAUAACUUAUGUUAGAUUAAUAAAAACAUAAUUCAGUAUUUAUUCCAUAAUUCCAUUAUUUUGUUUUCCUGAAAGUCCUCUGUUUUAUCAUCUAUGGAUGUGGGAGACUGGGAAUUAAUAAAAUUUAGCUCAAAAAUAAAUUAAAAAACAAUGUAUUUGGAAGUUGUUUUACUUAUGAUUGAGAGUUAUAUAUCGGGGAAAGGGGAUGUGGCUUAAUAUAGCAUCAAUAAAUGGCAUAUUUUUUAUGUACUAUGUGGAUAAAGGAAACCCUGGUGGUGUAGUGGUUAAGUGCUAUGGCUGCGAACCAAAGGGUCCGCAGUUCGAAUCCGCCAGGUGCUCCUUGGAAACUCUAUGGGGCAGUUCUACUCUGUCCUAUAGGGUCGCUAUGAGUCAGAAUCGACUCGACGGCACUGGGUUUGGUUUUUGGUGAUAUCUGGAUAAAGGGGAACAAACUAUGUUGUUAUAGAGCUUUUUGACACUGUCACUGAAGUGGAAUGAAAGGGAAUAUAACCCACAUCAAUUUAAUUUUCUAUUUUUAAAUGAUAUUUAUAGGAUUUAGGCUACUUUGAGAUUAUUACUUUAUUAAUGUUUCUGAAUAUGUACUAAAACUGUCAAGUCUGGAAAAUUCCUGAUUAACAGAAAUCAAAACGUCUUAUACCAUGAUGGCAAACCAACUUGACUUCCUUAGAAUAGUAGAGAAAAUAAUUUGCUAAUUACUUGAGCAAAAGCUGAAUGUAGAAUAUAGUCACCUAUUAGAGAAGGUGAACUGGCAAAUGAAUUAAAUAACAAUCACAUAGUUUUACAGUUGUAAAGAAUCUCAGAGAUUAUUCCCUCCAAUAAGGAAAUGAGACUCUCAUGUCAAACACUAAAUAUACGACUUUGGAGAAAACUCAGGCCUCCUAAGUCUCAAUCUGGGCUCUUUCUACCACACCAUGUUGUAAUUUUGCAGUUAUGUGGCUACUAGACAGCCCGCUACUUGUAAAAGAACAGUAUGCUCCCUGGUCAGAUAAUGCUACUGUGAAGUGUCUGUUAACUGUCCUAACUAGAAAAGUGAUACUUACGGAAGACUGUCUGAAGGUUAUACAGUCCAUCCACUUCUCUAAGUACUCCAAAGUCUCUCCUUGGAUUAAACUGGGCCAUGAGAAACCUAUAUAUACACUUGGACCAUAUUAGCUUAGCUCCUUGAAGAACUGCUUUCACUGAGUUGUAUGUUAAUGUAAUGCCUGCACCUUUUAUUGAAAGGGACUACAAGAAACGUCAAUAUGAAAUUCACUAUGAUGUUUAUUGGGAAAAUGUUAACAUUUCUUGCUAAAGUACCCAGUUUUCCCUAUAUAAAACCCAUGAAAGAUAUAUAUAUGGUCCCUCUCAAAGGAGAAUUCAGUGUAAAGGAAGAUUUUCUCUGAGGAAAUUUAUGCUUCCAUUUUUUGGUUAAAGAAAAAAAAAAAACUUUACAGUUAUUAUGCUUGCCCAAGAUGUGGCAGUCUGUUUCUGUGAAGAUUACAGCCUCAGAAUCCCUAUGGGGCAGUUCUACUCUGUCCUAUAGGGCUGCAAUGUGUUGGAGUUGACUCAGUGGCAACAAGUUUGGUUUUAUUCAUCACGUAAAUGAGAAUAUGAGAGGGAUAUAUUCUUGGACCAUAUUUGAUUAGUUUGUUAAUUGACUUCAAUAAUUCAUUAAAGAGCUAAAGAGUUAAAUGAUAAAAUUUAUGAUUUAGAAAGACAAAUCUGGUAUUAAUAUAGAGGAUGGAUUAGAAGAAGUCAAGUAUGGAGUCAGCAAGUAGUAAAGAGUCUAUUAAAAUGGCGAGGGCUUGAUGUAAGGCACGUAUGAAGAGAACAGAUAAAAUCUGAUGACUGCAUAGAUGUUGAAGGAUACUUCCAAGUGGUUGGCAUGUGAGAUUAGGUUGAACAAUUAACUGACAUAUUUUUUUUAUGGGUUACUGAUGAAUAACUAGAUGUGGGCAGGGGAAAGGUAUAAAGUCAACUUAGGAGGUUUUAUUUUUAUUUUUUGUUUGUUUCUUUGACCUUUUUUUUUAAGUGUAGAGACUGAGGUGUUAUAUUCAAAUUGAAAUGUCUAGGGAACAGGUUGGAUGCAUGAUCCCUGAAGUUAAAAAACAAAGGUGUGGAAAAUAGGCAUAGGUAAUAACCAUGGAAAUGAAGAUAAAACUGUGGGUUGUAGAUUUUGAUUUGGUAAUUACUUCAUUAAUUUAUACAGUAUUUACUGAGUAAUAUGUGUAAGACACUGCAAAAGGCCAGGGAUAAAUGAUUUACUAAAAUAAAAGUGGUUACUGUUAUCAUGAUAAGUGAAGGAGCAGAGGCAUGAAUAUGCAAUUACAAUCUGUGGCAACAGCUAUACUGCAAAAGCGCAAGGUAGUACACAUGCUUACAAUGGGAAUCUAAUCAGCUGGGGUAGGGGAGCUCCAAAAAUUCCUGAAUAAUUGAUAUUUGUGCUGAGGAUGAGUAGGAAUUACCUGGUUUGGGAAUGAAAAUGGUGAGCAGUAUGUAGCGUUGUAGAUAUUCCUGCAAACCUUGUCAAUAAAAUCCUUAAAGUGAGACAUGCACAGUGAAUAGUAAAUUUUAAAGCCAGGAUAAAAGAAAGCUAAAAUAAUUGUCUUUGAGGGUAAAUAAGAACAGAUGUUGCAUCCACUGUGAACUCCAAAAGAGAAUCGCAAAGCACAGAAUGAGCAGUGGAAGGAUGUGAGGGAAGAAAACUAAUAUUCUGAGACCUGCUUUAAUGAGAACAGAAGUGAAAUGGCAUUCCUCAGCAUAAUAGUAGAAAGGCUCAAUAAGGAACCAGUGAGACAAUAAAAAAUUACUAUCUGAUCUGAAAAUGUGGAGGUUAUUGGUACCCUUCAGUUACAGGAGUCAAAAUGGAAAGGAAAUCAGAUUACGGUGGAUUGAGAACUGAAUUGAAUGUGAGAAGACAGCAUUGGAGGUAAUGCUUUCAGGAAGCUCAAAUGGCGAGCAACAGGGUAGAAUCUGAGGAUGUGGGAAGAUGGUGGCAGAGGAUCUGGAGAGAGUUUUGUAUUUGCUUUUAUUGUGAAGAUUAAGGAUCCUCAUAAGACGACAGAAAGAAGACAACUGAAAAGAAGGCAAUUUUGAUACAAUAAAACAAACAAAGAAAAAUAAUAACUGAUGGAUCAAGGUUGAGAAAUAAGCAUUCCAGCGCUGAAGUGGAAGAAUUAGUCCAGUGAAGGAAUAUGGGAUAUUAGGGAAGGGUCUAGAAGUACUUAUAGGUUUGCAUAAGAAAAUAUCUUUGUAUAUAGAAGGGCAUAAAAAUUUGAGUUGGAUCAUUUUAUCCAGCACUACAUUUUUAGAAUGGUAAGGUUUGGUUGUCCCAAGUUUAAGGCUAUGGCAAUUCAUGCUAGAAGUAGUGUAAUGUCUUGCCUAAGAUCACAGAGCUAGGUAGUAAAUGAGGAAAAAGGGCAAAAAUCCUUGUCUCCUUUUUAUAUAGGGCUCAAAAGCAGCUUGACUGAAUCCAUCAAAAGUGGAUUUAUCUAUUUUCAAAAACUAACUUAAGAGCACGAUUUACAUGUAAACUGUAUGUUAAAUACGUACUUCUUUUUUUCAAACAUACAAUGUUGAUAUGUAUCUCUGAGUGAUUAUUUUCAGGAGGCAAAUUAAUACUUGCCAGCUUACAAACUUUUAAGAACUUUUCAUAUACUCUUUGGAUUGACAGAUAAUUUAACUGUGUUUAUUAACUUCAAAAGCAGAGGAUUCUCAUCACUCCCUAGGUGGUUAGUCUGAAAGGAUAACCUGUGGUUAAAAACCCCAUAUUUCAACAAAAGAGAAAGAGGAAAUGAAAUGCAUGGCUGAUUGCCUCCAUCACCAACUACCUCUUAUGCCAGAAGAACUGAAUGCUUUGAUCAAAGAUUCCAUAGAAGAAUCCUGAUCAAAAAGGAGAAAAUGUAGAACAGAAUUUCAAAUUCUCAUGGAACCCAGACUUUCUGCAGCCAUUGAGGCUAGAUGAACGCCAGAACCUAUUGCUCUGAGAUAAUCUUUAAACCUAAACCAAAAAUAUUGCCUGAAGUCUUUAAGCCAAACAAUAGUUUAGUAACUUAAGAACUGUACUCUUUCAAAAAACUAACCAUAUGGGAUCAAAUUGACAAGAGCACCCCAAAAGGUUAGAUAGGAAACUUAGCAGGCAGUGAGUUUAUGUUAAUGGGGGGGAACAAUUUGGAAAAGGAGAGUGAGAAUGGUUGCACAACUUGAAGAAUGUAAUCCACGUCAACGGAUUGUACAUGUAGAAAUUGUUGAAUUGGUGUAUGUUCUGUUAUGUAUAUUUCCAACAACAACUAAUAAAUUAUUUAAAAAUAUAUUUUAAAACAACUACAGAGGUAGACUGCCUGAAAUAUCUUUUAGGCAGAUUGGCUAAUUUGAAGGCACUCUACUUUUAAUUCUCAGGACUUGGUUUUUUUCCAAGGUAGGUUUAGAAAAUGUCUCCCAAAAUUCAUUUGAAUCAUAGAAUUGGACUGAUAAAGCCACUAUUGUAAAGUUCCAAAAGCUUUUUCAUGAAGGUAAGGAAGUUCUGUUAUAAGUAUUACAUUCCCAGAUUUAAUGUUAGAAACACAUUUAUCCUUCAUUCAACAAAUAUUUCUAAAGGGCCUACCACACACCGUACUAGGCACUCUAGCUACACAGAUGUGAAUGAGAACAAGCAACGUGCUUAAAGUAAUGAUCCCUCUAACUUAAUCAUUAAGAACUGAAAUAACAUAAACAAUGCUACUUGUUUUUCUGAAAAUUAAGUUGGAGCAUCAAUGAUUUUUGACAAAGAUUCAUCUAGGUUAUGUGUGAUUUGACAUGUGAGUAGACUUAAAUCUGGUAUUCACCAAAAUUAGGUCAUUACUUUUAGAAGGCACUACCAAAAUGGUGCUUUCUCCAUUUACAGGUAUCUAAAUUUUCCAAGUUGAAGGGUUGAGGAUGUAUAUUAUUUGGUAUAGUAAGUCACAAUGUCAAUUUGAUUGGCAUAUCGGCAUAUUGCAGCAUAAAAAAAAACCUGUAAAUUUCUAUUUGGGGAAUUUAUAUCAUAAAAACAUUGUAAUUCAUUUUAGGUGAUACAGGUUACAAAGGAAUAUCUAGCACUGUAUCUUUAAAAACAUGUAAUAAUGAAAGUGCAGGUGUAACCAAUAUAGCUAAAAAGAAGUACUUGGAUAAACAGCAAUGAAAAAAGCAAUAUGCUAUAUAGAAAAUGAAAACAUAAAUCAACAAUAAAAUGUAAUGGAAAUGUUGAAAUAGCCUAUAAAAUUGAUCUGAAAAUUUUCUGCAGAGAAAGUUGAUCAUAUUGCCUUAAACGUUUACUUGCUGAUGCUGUUAACAGGCAAAAUACAGCGUAUAACGUGAAAAAAAAAGCACUCUUGUUAAAACUUCUUUAGCUUACAAAAUUAAGGAAAAAAGAACAAGACUUUUAAACUAUGAACACCCACUGUUUGUAUGCUUAAUCUGCAAUAUGGUCAGAGAAAGGAGGGAAAAAAAAAAACUACAUUCAAAUAACUGAAAAAGAAAUCAAAUCAGCAAGUAUGUUAUUCUGAGUUUAACAGAAGCAGCAUUGAGGAAGACAUAUUGGUAAAGGAAACCCUCAAAGUAGAACGUUUUACUAUUAUUAAGAAUACUCUGCAUCUUACUGUGAUAUAUCCAAAGCCUCCUUCUUAAGUAGAUGAAUAAUAAUCUAUAGAUAAGAAAGGAAACAUCUGUUAUCAAUGCACAUAACUCCCACUAGCUUCAGUACUUGAAAUCAAAAAAUGGACACGAAUAAUCCCCAAAGAAGUUAAUCUUCAAAUAACUUUUUCCUUAGAGGCUACAAGAGCAACAUAAAAUUUCUAGGCAUUCCAGCACCUACUUACUUAUUCCACGUGACACAGCGAUGAUAAAAGUACUGGCUGGGCUUUUACACCAGAGCACUAAAUAUGAGAAGAGGUGAGGAGCACACAACCCAUUGAGUAUGGCCUGUAAUUCUAUAACAGGUAAAUUUAGUGUCCACUUUUUCCCCAAUCUUUUUAUUAUAAGGAAAUGGAUUGUUUAAAAGCAUGAAGUAAUGCUCUCACAGACAGAUCUGGGUUCAAGUAUACUUGCUAAACAGUUUUGUGAGCUUGGGCAAAGUACUAACUUUAUUAAGCUUCAGUUUCCUCUUUGGAAAAAAAUGGGAAUUAAGAUGACACCCCAGUAAGGUUGCUGUGAAGAUGACAUGAGACAGCAUAUUGAAAAAAAAAAAAAACUUAGCACAGUGCUUGACACCUAGGCAGAGCUCACCAGAUGCUUGGGGGUGAUUUAACAGAAAGGUACUACUCCAAACACUCCUAAAGGAUUUCAGGCCAGAACAAGAACACACUUUAAAAGAAAUGUGUAUGAUUCUAAUUCAUUUCAACCUUUUUAAAUGUGAAUGUUAUCAAUGCCAACUUGUAGAAACAUAUGUUACAAGCUGAUUAUGUUAGGAGAUUGUCUUAUUUAUAAGAACAUUCUCACUUACCUUGUCAUUUACCACACUCUUCCCAUCCCAAGCCCAGCCUCUUUUGGUGAAGUAAUUAACAGUUGCAAAUUCAAUUAGGGCAGAGAACACAAAUGCAUAGCAAACAGCAAUAAACCAGUCCAUGGCCGUUGCAUAAGCCACUUUGGGGAGAGAAUUCCGAGCACUGAUGCUUAGGGUUGUCAUUGUUAGCACAGUUGUUACUCCUGCAGAAGAAAAGACAGGAACCAAAAACAUCAGCAGGUUCUAGCAGGACAAGAUUGGAAGUGCGUGUGUGUUUUUUAAACAUCUUUUCAGUGUCACUUUUAACCAGUUAAAAAAAAAAUCUACCUGAAAGAAAACACAAAGUUAAUGACCUUAAAUGGUUAUUAUAUUUCUUAAAGUAAUGACUCUAAAAACACUGUCAAGUUUCACUUUUGUUCUGUAUGAAUCACCUUCUCUUUUUGUUUCUUAAAUACGGUUGAGGUUACAAAGGCUGAAGCAGAAUUUCCUAUGAGGAAAAGUAGGCACUUUAAAUCGACCUACUGCCGAUUAUCCUCAACUUAAAAUAAACAAACAAAAUAACGUUCACAAAGCCUCAUGUUAAUUUGUCCAUCAUUUAUUUAAAUUGCACGCUAAGCAAUGGACAAGACAACUGCACCAGUGAUCACUACGGAACCGUGAUUAAGAAGUUCUUCAUCAAAGUAUAGCUAUAUAGUAUGAAAUUAAUUCUGGAAUGCUAAGCAUUGUGAAGGAGUCCUGGUGGUGCACUAGUUAAGAGCUUGGCUGCUAACCAAAAGGUUGGCAGGUUGAAUCUACCAGCCUCUCCUUGGAAACCCAAUGGGGCAGUUCUACUCUGUCCUACAGGGUUGCUAAUGGACUCGAUGAUAAUGGGUUUUAAGAAUUGUGAGGACACAAUUUCUUUCUUAGUGAAGCUCACUGUCUAUAGAAAAUAAAACAAGCAGCUAAAAAAUAAAGCCCUAGAAAAAUGUAAAUCACUGCUUUUAAAGAACUGCUAAUACCUUUGUUGAUUUAAAAACAACCUAUUUUCUUUCACUCUAUCCCUUGUUUGCCAGUAGUCAGGAAAGUCACAAUUAUUAAGGAAAAAAGAAGGAAAUAACCAGGAGGUAGGCUGCCAUACCAGCUCUCAAAAUGUCUACAAUCACCUGCUUUAUCAGGGACCCAACAGAAGUUUAAUUAUGUACAUAAGGGAUCAGUUAAUGUAAAAGAAAAUUAAAGGUUAAAGAAAUUUUCAUUCAUAUUUUGAAGAUGUUUGUAUUUUAGAAUAAAGCACCUGCUUUUAUUUUUGUUUUUUUCCUCAACUGCAAUACAGUCUACUCCACUGCCUUGGAGUUGGUUCCGACUCAUGGUGAUCCCAUAUGUUACAGAGAACUGUGCUCCAUAGGGUUUCUGGGUGCGGUCUUUACAAAAGCAGGUGGACAGGCCUUUCUUCCUGGGCACUACUGGGUUGGUUGGCACUGGCCAACUUUAGGGUAGCAGUCUAGCACAAUCCAUUUGUACUACUCAGGGACCUCUUACAACACAAUUAGUGAUUCAAAACUAGCAAUAAUUCUAUUUAAUCAUGCGUGAACGCAUCUGGGAAUGUGAUGGCAGUAGUAGGAAUAAAGGUAGGAAAAUAAAUCUAGUUUACCUGCUGCUGAGUCAAUACUAAAAAUGUUUACAAAAUCACAGCAAGCUUGUGCUUGAAUACAUCAAACUGCUCAAGGUUUAGAGUGGUAAAAUGAUUUCUUUUGAGACUCUGCUACAGAAGAAUAAAUAAAUUGAGUAUAAGGCAGACACAUGCACAUAAACAUACAUGAACACACUAUAGAAGAUGCAAAUGACAAGUCAUUUGAUAUAUGAAAAUAUAUUCAACUUCACUAGCAGUCAAGGAAAUGCAAACAAAGCAAAAAUGUCUUUUUAGACAAUACUAUCAGCAAAAUAUGAGCAAAACUUUAAAGGGUCCAUAGUAUCUGGUACUGAGGAAGAUGUGAGGCAACGUACACCCUCCUUCAUAGAGAUUAUAAAUUGAUUCUACCUCUUUGGAAAGUUAUUUGGCAACAUCUCCUAAUAUUUUUUAACGGCUUCAUAAACGUAUAAUCAACAUACAAUAAACUGUCUAUAUAUAAAGUGUAAGUGUGACUACAAUCAAGAUAACAGCUAUAUCUGUCACCCCUAUUGUAAUCCUCCCUGCAACCCCCUUCUCAUCCCCAGCCAACCACUGACAUGCUUUCUGACACUAUAAAUCAGUAUGCACUUUCUAGAAUUAUACAUAAAUGAACUUAUACAGCGUGUGUACUUUUUUGUCUGGGAUCAUCAUAAUUACUUUGAAGUUUAUCCGUUAGGUAGUGUGUAUUUAUAGUUCGUUGCCUUUUAUUGUGGAGUAAUAUUUCAUUGUAUGAUGUACUACAAUUCGCUGACCCAUGUAUUGGUUGGUACUCAUUCGGACUGCAUGCAUUUGGGGGCCGUUGCAAAUAAAGCCUAUGUACGGACAUAUGCUUUCAUUUUUUUGAGUACUUUUGUUGCUAUUUUUUAUUAAGAUGAAAUUUAAAUAAUAUAAAACUUACCAUUUUAAGAUGUACGGUAUAUUCACGGAAACCCUGGUGGUGUGGUGGUUAAGUGCUACGGCUGCUAACCAAAAGGUUAACAAUUCAAAUCUACCAGGCACUCCUUGGAAACUCUAUGGGGCAGUUCUACUCUGUCCUGUAGGGUCGCUAUGAGUUGGAAUUGACUCGAUGGCAGAGGGUGGGUAUAUUCACAAUGUUGUGCAGGUAUCACCACUAUCUAAUUCAAGGAUAUUUUAAUCAUUCCUAAAAGAAACCCCGUAUCUGCUAGUUGUCACUCCCAAUUCUGCCCUUCCACUAGGGCCUGGGAACCACUAAACUACCUUCAGUCUCUAUGGAUGUGCCUAUACUGGACAUUUCUUAUAAAUAAAAUCACAUAAUAUGUGACCUUUAUGGCUUAUUUUACUUAGCAUGUUUUCAAGGUUCAUCCAUGUUGUAGCACGUCAAAACAAAAACAAAAAAACACAGUUGCUGUUGAGUUGAUUCUGACUCCUGUGACCCCACCUGUGUCAGAAUAGAGCCGUGCUCCACAGAAUUUUCAACGGCUGUGACCCUUCAGAAGUAGAUUGCCAGGCCUUUCUUCCAACAUGCCUCUAGGUGGAUUCAAACUGCCAAGCUUUCAGUGAGUAGCCGAGUGUUUAACCACUGUGCUACCUUUCUAUGGCUGAAUAUAUCUCAUUGUACACAUACACCACAUUUUGCUUAUCCAUUUGGACAUUUGGGUAGUUUUCACCUUUUGGCUAUUAUAAAUAAUGCUGCUAUCAGCAUUAAUGUACAAUUUUUUGUUUGGACUUAUGUUUUCGAUUCUCUUGAGUACAUACUAGGAGUGGAAUUUCUGGAUCAUAUGGUAACUCUAUGUUUAAUUUUUGAAGAUAUGUCAAGCUGUUUUCCACAAGGACUGCACCAUUUCACACUCCCACCAGCAAUGUAUGAGGGUUCCAAUUUCUUCACAUCCUUGUCAACACUUGUUUUUGUCCAUUUUUUAUUUGUUUUAUACUCAUCCUAGUUAUGUGAAGCGAUACCUAAUUGUGGUUUUGGUUUAUAUUUUCCAAAUGCUUAAUGGGCUUAAUAUUCCAUUGCUAUUGAUAAGGUUUUCACUGGCUAAUUUUUGCUAGAGGUCAUUCAAAAGCGGUUGCAGCAAUAUAGCGACAGGGAACUGCCAGAAAUUCAAGCAUGGAAUGAAGGAUAUCACUACUGAUGUCAGAUGGAUCUUGGUUGGAUGCAGAAAAUACCAGAAAGAUGUUUACCUGUGUUUUACUGACAAUGCAAAGGCAUUCGGCUAUGUGAAUCAUAACAAAUUAUAGAUAACAUUGUUAAGAAUGAGAAUUCCAGAACACUUAAUUGUGCUCAUGAGGAACCUGUACAUAGACCAAGAGGCAGUCAUUCGAACAGAACAAAUGGAUACUGUGUGGUUUAAGUCAGGAAAGCUGUGCAUCAAGGUUGUAUCCUUUCACCAUACUUAUUCCGUCUGUAUGCUGAGCAAAUAAUCCAAGAACCUGGACUAUAUGAAGAAGAAUGGGGCAUAAGGAUUGGAGGAAGACUCAUUAACAAUCUACAUUACGCAGAUGACACGACUUGCUUCCUGAAAGUGAAAAGGACUUGAAGUCCUUACUGAUGAAAAUCAAAGACUACAGCCUUUACUAUGGAUUACAUCUCAACAUAAAGAAAACAAAAAUCUUCACAACUAGACCAACAAGCAACAUCACUUGGAUCCACGAUCAACACCCAUGGAAGCAGCAGUCAAAAAAUCAAAAGACACAUUGCAAAGGGCAAAUCUGCUGCAAAAGAUCUCAUUAAAGUGUUAAAAAGCAAAGAUGUCACUUUAAGAACUACGGUGUGCCUAACCCAAACCAAGGUAUUUUCAAUAGUCCCAUGUGCAUGAGAAAGCUGGGCAAUGGAUAAGGAAGACUGAAGAAGAAUUGAUGUCUGUGAAUUAUGACGUUCGUGAAGAAUACUGAAUAUACCACAGAUUAUCAAAAGAACGAACAAAUCGAUCUUGGAAGGAGGAUAGCCGGAAUGCUCAUCAGAAGCAAGGAUGGUAAGACUUCCUCUCACAUACUUUGGGCAGGUUAUCAGGAGGGACCAGUCCCUGGGGAAGGACAUCAUCCUAGGUAAAGUGGAGGGUCAGCUAAAAAGAAGACUCUCAAUGAGGGGCUGUGAAUCAGAAGCGACUAGACAGCACCUGCCUAAUGAUGUUCAGCUUCUUUUCAUAUGAUUUUUGGCCACUUGUUUUUCUUUGUAUAAGUGUGUAUUUAAAACCUUUUCAAACUUUUCAUUAUGUUAUUUGCCUUUUUAUUUUGAGCUGGAAGAUCUUCAUAUAUUCUGGAUGACAGGCUCUUAUCAGAUAUAUGAUUUGGAAGUAUUUUCUCUCAUUGUAUGGACAGUCUUUUGCAUCCUUGAUAGUGCCCUUUGAUGCUCAGAAGUUUUUAAUUUUGAUGAAGUCCAAUUUAUCUAUUUUUAUUUGUUUGUUUUUACAUUUAGUAUCAUAUCUAAGAAACCUUGCCCUAAUCCAAGGUUCUGAAGAUUUACUCUAUCUUCUUCUAAUACUUCUGUAGUUUUAGUCUUUACAUUCAGAUCUUUGAUCCAUUUAGGGUUAAUUUUUUUGUAUGGUGUAAAGUUGGGGUACAAUUUAAUUCCUUGCAUGUGGAUAUACAGUUUCCCCAGGACCAUUUGUUAAAGAGACUUCUCUUUCCCUGUUGAAUGGUCUAGGCAAUCUUGUUAAAAACCAAUUGGCCAUAGAUAUAUGGGUUUUAUUACUGGACUCUCAAUUCUAUUUCAUUUAUCUAUACAUCUAUCCUCAUGCCAGUAUGAAACUGUUUUGAUGACUGUAGCUUUGUAUUAAGUUUUGAAAUCCGGACAUGUGAAGUUUUCCAACUUUAUUUUUCUUUUUCAUGAUUGUUUUGGCUAUUCUGGGUCCCAUGCAAUUUCAUAUGAAGAUCAGCUUUCCACUUCUGAGGGAAAAAGGGCCACUGGAAUUCUGAUAGGGAUUAUGCUGAAUUUGUGGGUCACUUUGGGUAAUACUGACAUCUUAACAAUAUUAAGUCUUCCAAUUCCAAUUCAAGAAUACAGGAUAUCUUUCUAUUUAUUUAGGUCUUCUUUAAUUUCUUUCACCAAUGCUUUGUAGUUUUCAGAGUGCAAGGCUUCCCAGAUUUUUCUAUUUGUCUUUUGGCAGUUCAAUUAUGUGUCUUAUUGUGUAUCUCUUUGAGGCUAUUCUAUUUGUAGUUCAUUUGUAGUUCAAAGAGCUUCAUAAACAUAUUAUUAAUGUCUUUCUUUAAAUUUGGGAAAUCCUUGGCCAUUGAGUGUUCCAAAUAAUCUUUCUCUUUUCCUCUCUGCUCUCCUGUGGCUACCAUAUGCAUAUGUAGGUUUGCUCGAUGGUGUCCAACAGGUAUCUUAGCUUCUGUUCAUUUUUCUUCAUUUAUUUUACUUCCUGUUCCUCAGACUCAAUAAUCUUAAUUUACCUAAUUUCAAGUUCACUGAUUCUUCUGACUGCUCAAAUCUGCUUUGAGUCCCUCUAAUUAAUUUUCAUUACAGUUAUGGUGCUGUUGAACUACAAAAUUUCUACUUGUUUACUUUUUAUAAUUUCUUUCUGUUCCUUGAAACUUUGUUUGAUGAGAGAUCAUUAUUAUGCAUUCCUUUAAUUCUUCAGACGUGGUUUCCUUUGGCUCUUUUAGCAUAUUUAAAAUAGCUUAUUUAAAGUUUUUGGCUAGUAAGUGCAAUGUGUGGGCAUCCUCAGAGAUGAUUUCUAUCGAACGAUUUUAUUCCUGUGAGUGGGCAUCAUUUCUUGUUCCUUUGCAUGCCUCAUAACUUAGUUGAAAACUGAAUGAUUUGAAAUAUUGCAAUGUGACAACUAGAAAUCAGGUUUUUGUUCAGGUUUGUUGUUGCUGCUGCUUGAUGUACUUGCUCUGGCUUAUUCAUUUAUUUUUUUAGUGACUUUUAUUAAUGGAAUCGACUCGAUGGCACUGGUUUUUUUAAUUAACUAAUACUGUGAUGUCUAUAUUCUUUGUUGUUUGUAGUCAUUGAAGUCUCUGUUCCAUUAGUUUGGUGGUCAGCUAAUUAUUGGGCAGAGGUUUCCUUGAACACAUGGAAACAAAAUUUUUCCUAGUCUUUACCAAGUGCUUCUUGUGUGCAGGCGUAAGGCAUUUCUUCAACACUCAGCCAGGCAGUGUACUAAUCUGCCUUAGCCUGCACUACCUUCCUGUAUGGUACCUCAGGUCAGCCAGACAUGAGAGCUUAGUUGCUGCAGCCUUUGGUUGAUUUCAAAGUUCUGAAAGAGUUAAUAAUGACAGUGUUUUCCAAAUUUUUCAUUUCUUCUAUACCAAAAACCCAUUGCCGUGGAGUCAAUUCUUACUCAUAGAGACCCUACAGGACAGCGCAGAACUGCCCUGUAGGGUUUCCAAGGAGCGGCUGGUGGGUUUGAACUGCAGGCCUUCUGGUUAGCAGCAAAAUGGCUUAACCACUGCUCCAUUUCUUCUAUGGAGGGGCAAAAUUUUGGAAUUCCUUGCUCCACAUUUUUGCUGGUAUCACCUCUCAUAACAUUUGGAAUGGGUAUAUUCUGCGAACCAGCAAUUCCACUUGUACCUGAGUCAGGGUAGUAUAAACUGUUAGCAAUAUUGUGGCUGUCUUCAGAAGGUCUCACAUCAGACUGCCUGGGUUUGAAUCCUGGUUCCACUAUUUGCUGCCCCGUGAUUUUGAACAAGUUACUCAACAGCUUUCAUUACUUUCUUCAUUUACAAAAUACAAAUAUAAACAGUACCUACUUCCUGGGAAUGUUCUGAGGGUUAUGUAUAAUAUACUUGAAGCACUUAGCACAAAGCCUGGCACAUUUUAAAUAUUCAAUAAACGUUAACUACUUUAGUUCUUUUUAUUUUUGUUAUUAUUGUUACUAGUAUUAUGAGAAAUCGUUCUUACUGAAAUGAGAGCAAAAAAAUAAAUAGAUAUAAAUGAUGCAUAAAGCUUUUCAGGUGAGCUUUGUCUGUAACAGCCAAAGAAUGACAACAUUUGGCAUAGUCACUGAUUGGGAAAUAGUUUAAUAAAUUGUAGAAUACCUACACUACGAAUACCAGGAAAAAAUUACAACAAAUGAAGCAGUGCUAUGCAUGAUUGCAAAUAUGUCUACAGUAAGUCUGUUUUAAAAAGUUUCAUAAUUUAAUUUUAAUCAAAAUAUGUUUGCUUAGAUAUGUAUACCAAUAUACAUACAUAUGCCUGUAUGAACUUAGCAAAAAAAAAAAGUACUGUAUGAAUUAGUAAAAAAAUCAGAAAAGAUAUCUAAUAGUUACCACUUUGGGGGAGAAUGUAGUAUACAGAUUGAAUAGAUAAAAUAGGAAGUGGACUUUCAGCUGAUUUUUUAUUGUUUUACAUAUUUGGUAUUUUAAAAUAAACUAUCAGAAAGAAAAAGGAGGAAAUCUGUAAGUGUACAAGAAACUAGUUGCCAUCAAGUUGAUUGAGACUCAUGGCAAGCCCACGCGUAUCACAGUAGAACUGUGCUAAACAAGGUUUUCAGUGGUUGAUUUUUUAGAAGUAGAUUGUCAGGCUUUUCUUCCAAGGCAGCUUUGAGUGGACUCAAACAUCCAACAUUUUGGUUAGCAGCCUUGUGUGUAGCCUUUUGCACCACCCAGGGACUCCAAACAAAGAUGAUAACGAUACUUGUUACCUUUAAGAAUUAACAUUGAAGGAAUUUUAUUAUUUUCUUUCUUUUCCGCAGUGAACCUGCACUGUGAUUCUGAUUUGAAAUAUAUACAUAUAUAUAAAAUGUUUAAUUAUUUAAAUUAUUUAAAGGGAAGUUUGAUGACUUUCAUCAUUUCUCACUUAAGUGGGAAUUGGAAAUAAUGACUGAUAAAUGCAUUAGUGCUGCCUAAAAAAAACAAAACAAAACAAAAUAACAACAACAAAAAAAACUAUAGUAAAAUAAUGGCAAACCUAAAUUUUAUUCUAAGUCCAAAUUGUUACUUUAAAAUUAGCUUUGGGGUCAUUCAUUCAAACCAAUGAAAUGUUACAGCAAUUUCAAUAUGAAUCUACUUUGGGGCUACAUUCCCCUGUAUACAAGUAAGGAUGAGUAUUUAUUUUCUUUCAUCAAAUUUUAAAAACUUGCCAAAAAAUUGUUAACUUAGUCUGCAGAUUUCUUUCCUCUCUCUGUCCCCCGCUUCCUCCCCUCUUAUGUUUUUUUUCUUUGCACUGCAAGGAUAAGUUUCUCAUAGGCCUGAUUUUCUGCCUGCUGGUUUGGUGCAGCGUAGUCUCACUAGCACCCUAAGUAGAAAGAGUUGGGCAUAAAUAAAAUGAUGCACUUACCUGGAAAGCUCAUAAACCUUCCACAUGCCUGUCCCCCAACAAUGGACAUGUUGCUGCCCAUAGAAGCACACUCUACAAAUGAGUGUUCCUCUCAAUGUUUCUUUAAACACAAUUCUUCUUCCUUUAUUACCUUUGUGUAACCUCCAUAACUCACUUCUCUGGAGGCUUAAGUUUGUUUCUCGGCAAAAUAAAAAUGCAAUACAAAUAAAAAGUGCUCUUGGUACUACAUAUAUCUAUUUUCAUAUAUAUAUAUGUAUUUUUAUAUGUAUUUUUUUUAUAUAUACAUAUAUACACAUAUGUACAUGUAUAUAUGUAUGUCUAUUAUGUGUGCACAUUGUGUCUGUGUAUGAGAUACAUGCUACCUUUUCCUGUACAUGAACAAUAUCUAGCAUACAGCUACCGCUUUUAUAUGGUGGUUUUAUUCCAUAUAAUAUUUCCUAUCUUAAGGUGUAGAUGCCCAAGAACCUUACAUAAUUAAUUGAUAUUUCAACUUAGAACAGCUGAGUAAAUGAUGUCUAAGCAAGGGAAUGCUGGGAGUUGAGUGAAAUUGUACACUUACAAGAAGAAAGUCACAUCAGGGGAGGUGGUUUCAGAGUAGAGGCAGACACUGAGGCUCCAGGACCUGAAUUCUAACCUUGUGACACGACUAAAUUUUUAACCUCGUUGUACUUCAGUUUCCUCAUUUGCAAAGCAGGAAUUAAAAACAGUGCUUUCCAAGUGAGCUGUUUUACAGAACAAAUGAGUUACUGCAUGUGAAGCAUUUAAAACAGUGCCUCUCUUAUAAAAAUAGAAUUUAAUACAUGUGAGAAAAUACAUUAUCAUCUUCAAAGUAAAGUCAAGGUAGAUUUCAAUCAGAAAAAUAAAACCAAAUCCUCUUGUAGAACUUUAUCCCCAUCAAAAGCCUGUAUGUGGGUGUUUGUGGUUGGGAUGUGGGGCAGAGUUAGGAAAAAGCAUCAGAAACCAAAAAGGCACACAAAAAACGGCAAUAUAACAGGCAUGCAAGAUUGUUUGAUACCACCUGCUGGUUACUGGUAGAAAUGGCAGGAACAGCAGGCAUUCUGAUAAGAAAAGUAUUUUUCCUCCUUUGACCCAAUGGACAAAGCAAUAUUCUCCCCACUCCUCUAAGAUAUAACUUUUACAAAUACAUUCUAAGUGCACUAUGAAAGGCUGCAUUUUUAACUCAUUACUGUACUACAUAUGAAUAAUAAAAACAUUGAAACUUCUGUGUGCUACAAAGAGAAAUUAAAAUUCAAUUAACAUAUCUUUGUCAUAAAACCUAACUAACUCAAAAUUGACUAAUUUAAAAUUUGAUCUAAAAGAAAAUAUUGAAAAGGUUGCUUAGAGAGUGGACAACACUGAGAGAAUUAUAAAUUUUUCUUUUGGCUCAUCUCAAUAUACCAUGGAUUCACUACAUACAAAACUCAUAUUCCUCUCCAAACACCGUCUUCUGCCUGAGGUGCUUCUCACAAUGAAAGGCAUCACAAUUUAAGUGAUGACAUUUUCAUACUCUAGCUUCAAGUUGUGGAGCCAUAGAUAUUUUGUCAGUCUGGGAAAGUGCACGUUUUCUCUACCUAGAAUCCUUUCCCUGGAACCAGCCCCUUUAUGAGUUAAGUAGCUCCUAUUCCUUUCCUGGAGCCCUGGUGGCACAGUGAUUAAAAGCGCUGCUGCUAACCAAGGAGUCAGCAGUUCAAAUCCACCAACUGCUCCCUGGAAACCCCAUGGGGCAGUUCUACUCUGUCCUAUAGGAUCAUUAUGAGUUGGAAUUGACUUGAUGGCAGUGAAGUUUUUAUUCUUUCCCUUAAUGAUCACUGAGUACUUACUAAAUUGCAGUACUUUUUUAGGUACUGGGAAACACAUCGGUUAACAAAAAUAGCAAAGAUACCUACUCCCUAAGAGCACAAAUCCUAUUAAUGCUGCAGAAGGCACAGUUCAGGUUUUAGCUUCUGUAAGAUCUCUUUCCUAAAGACCUAGCUCUAUGCAUACCUCUGUAAUAUCACAUCUCUUUUGAAUUUUAUGUUGGUUUACAUAACUGUAUCCCCCAAUAUACUAUAUGGAUCACAGCCUAUUUGUCUUCUCCCUAAAAUGCCUAAAGUGCUUAAUAGAGGGUAAAAUCUCAUUAAAUGUUUUCUGAAUAGAUUAACUAAUCCUCCACCAAGGAUCUGCAUUUAAUAAGCAUUUAUUAAUAAGCUACUUGCAAGAAAUCUAUUCCUUCAUUUAUGAAACAAACAUGAAUUUUUCCCCAUUUUGUACCAGACACUGAGGAGCAAGGAUGCAAAGUGAGCAAAAGCAGAUAAAAUCUCUAAGAGAUAUUAACACAAUAAAAGCACAAAGUAACUUAACAACACAACUGGGCAAGGACUAUUAUGGUCUGUAAUACAGUGAUCUGACCUAGACUGGGAGGUUGGGUGAGAUUUCCUUAAGGAGUUAAAAGAAUACCUGAAAAUGGAAGAGCAUUCAAUAUCCCAGAGAAAUAAAAGCCUUUACACGAACAGAUAUAUGCACACCCAUGUUCACUGCAGCACUGUUUACAAUAGCAAAAAGAUGGAAGCAGCCAAGGUGCCCAUCAAUGGAUGAAUGGAGAAAUAAAUUAUGGGAUAUUCACACAAUGGAACAAUGGAAUACUAUGCAACAAUUAAGAAGAACGAUGAAUCAGUGAAACAUAAAAUAGAAGAACCUGGAAGGCAUUAUGCUGGGUGAAAUUAGUCAAUUGCAAAAGGAAAAAUAUUUAUGAGAUCACUAUUAUAAGAACUCAAGAAAAAUAUUAACCACAGAAGGAAAUAUUCUUUGAUGGUUAUGAGGGUGGGGAAGGAGGGAGAAGGGUAUUCACUAACUAGAUAGUAGACAAGAACUAUUUUAGGUGAAGGGAAAGACAACAAACAAUACAGGCGAGGUCAGCAUAACUGGACUAAACCAAAAGCAGUUUCCUGAACACAACUGAACAUUUUGAAGGCCAGAGUAGCAGGGAUGGGGGUCUGGGGACAUUGGUUUCAGGGGACAUCUAGGUCAAUUGGCAUAACAAAAUGUAUUAAGAAAACAUACUGCAUCCCACUGUGGUGAGUGGCAUCUGGGGUCUUAAAUGCUGGCAAGCAGCCAUCUAAGAUGCAUCAAUUGGUCUCAACCGACCUGGAGCAAAGGAGAAUGAAGAACACCAAAGAUACAAGGUAAAUAUGAGACCAAGAGACAGAAAGGGCCACAUAAACCAGAGACUACAUCAGUCUGAGACCAGAAGAACUAGAUGGUGCCCAGCUACCACUGACCACUGCCCUGACAGUGAACACAACAGAGAAUCUGAUGCAGCAGGAGGACAGACCUCAAAUUCUUGUAGAAAGACCAGACUUAAUGGCCUGACUGAGACUAGAGGAACCCUGGAGGUCAUGGUCCCUGUACCCUCUGUUAGCCCAAGACUGGAACCAUUCCCAAAGCCAACUCUUCAGACAGGGAUUGGUCUGGACUGUAAGACAGAAAAUGACACUGGUAAGGAGUAAGCUUCUUGGCUCAAGUGGACAGAAGAAACUAUGUGGGCAGCUCCUGUCUGAAGGCAAGAUGAGAAGGCAGAGGGGGACAGGAGCUGUUUGAAUGGACAAGGGGAAUGCAGGGUGGAGAGGAGGAGUAUGCUGUCUCAUUAGAGGGAGAGCAGCUAGGAGUACAUAGCAAGGUGUACAUAAGUUUUUGUAUGAGAGGCUGACUUGAUUUGUAAACUUUCACUUAAAGCACAAUAAAUAAAAAGUUGUAUAAUGAAAAAAAAGGAAGAACAUUCUAGAUUGAAUAAAUAGCAUGUACAGAAUCCCUUGAGCAUAGGGAAUUAUAGAGGUUAGGAGUAAUGGAAAGAAGCAUGCAAAGUGGGAAGGCUAAACAUAAGGGCAUUAUGGAAGGUUGGAGAGGGAAGCAGGAGCCAGACCAUUCAGGACAUGUUGACCAAGUUAAGGUGAUUUCAAGAACAAUGAGGAGCCAUUAUGGAGUUAAUUUUAAGUAAGAUAGUGAUCAGUAUUUCUUUUUUAAAAUAUCAUCCUGAAUGACAUAUAUAAAUGGUCUGGAAGAGGAAUAAGUUAAUUUGAAAAGGAACAAAGAGGCUGCAGGACACUUAGUUUGGAGGCUAUUGCAAUGCUCUGUUAAUUUGGACUAAGAUGGAAAACUAAAUGUAGAGAGAAGUGGACAGAUAGAGAUAUUUUAGGAUGUACAUGCAGGAUAGAGAUGGAUUAGUCUGGGGGUGAAAAAAGGGAAGAUUUAAAUCAUAUCCCCUAACGUAUUUCUAGUAACUAACGUAUUUCUAGUAACUAAGAUACAGUCAAAUCAAGUGGUUUCUGCUUAGAGAUGUAGAGUUGGGAAAGUGCAUCACGCCCACCUUACAACAAUAGCCAAAAAAUGUGAAAAUUAAUGACUUUUCUUGUAAUCAUCAGAAAAUUGAGGCUUCAGGGCCAGUAACUAACCUAAAAUCUUGAGAGAGAGGCAUUUUUGCAGAAAGAAACAGGAUCCAAGCAUUUGCAUCUCUGGGACAGAUUUUCUUUUGACUCGGCUAGACACUUUUAACAAAUUGCUAAAGGCUAAAUGCAGGCUAAUAGGAGAGUGUAAAGACCUGGGGGCCUGCAGAUAUAUGGGAUUUCUAUCUUUCAUUCACUCGGAGGCUUUUCUCCCUGCAAGUUCACCAGAUAUUCAUAGGAAAGAUCUGAUGAAUCUUGAGAAAAUUCCCCAAUGGUAUUGGUUUGGGUAGGGGAACAACCCUCAUUUCUGAAACUCUGUGCUCACUCACUUUCACUAUCUCCCCUAUAACAGAAUUUAUUCCAUCAUUUUCAGGGAGAAUGAUAACAAAAAUUGUAGCCUGAGGGCACUGAUGGAAAUCCAAUGCAGCUGGGGGAGAAAAAGUUGAAAAAAAAAAAAAUCUCUAUCCUUGCAGAAGGGGCAGAAAUUCUCGCUAGGUCCGAAACAACAUCUGGAACAAGGGCAAAAACACUUGCAAAGGUCAAGUCAUAUCCCUGAGACCCAGGAUUUCAGUACCUGACUAAAACUGAGCCUUGAUCAGAACAUAAGAGAACACUGAAUAAAAUAAUACUGGAAUAUGCUGGGAGAGCCGCAAGACAGAGAUUCUUUCUGGAGAUUAGCCCAAAAGGAAGACCCAAGUCAAGUGGGGUACAGACAUUGAUAUAAAUUCCCUGGAAAAUUAAUUCAUACCAUAAGCUCCUAAAUGUAUUAUUAUUAUUACAGAAAUUUGAUGGUUCUGGUGUUCAGAUGGUAACCAUAGCAACAGCAAACUUCAAACCCAGUUUAACUCCUAACUAGAUUAAUAAAAAUCUCCACAUAAAAGGCCUAGCAGAAGUAAAGGCAUGCUCAUAUUUAAGCAUAAAAUAUAUUUACAUCAGUAUAUAUGGUAUUGAAAAGCAUGUCUGGGUUUCAACGAAAAAACUAUAAGACAUACAAAAAGGUAAGGAAAAACGCAGUCUGAAGAGACAGCAAUCAUCAGAACCAGACUGAGAUAUGACACAGAUGCUGGAACUAUUAAGAUACAGGGAGUUUAACAUAAUUAUGAUUCAUAUGUUAAAGUACAAGAAAGAGUAUAUGACACACAAUUUCAGAUAGGUAUACUGCCAGGCACACAGAGCAGUCUGCAAUGCCUUUCCUCCUUUACCACAGUUCAGGGAUAUUCACACAGAAACAUAAUGCCAAAUAUGCAAACUGUUCAGGUUAUAGAACAGCACUUGAACAAAAAAAAAAGGGACGCCAAAGCCAAAGUAAUAAAUAAUUAGUGGCAAACAUUAUAACCGCAGCAUUUGCAAGCAAAGGCUCUUAUUCAUAUCAUUUAUAAAAACCUCUGUGCUCCACGUGAAUUUUGAGAAGGUACUGUCAUAGAUUAAAUUAUGUCCCUCCAAAAUGUGUGUAUCAAUUUGGCUGGGCCAUGAUUCCCAGUAUUGUGUAGUUGUCCUUCAUUUUGUGAUUGUAAUUUUAUGUUAAAGAAGAUUAGGGUGAGAUUGUAACACCCUCACCCAUGUCACAGCCCUGAUCCAAUGUAAUGGAGCUUCCCUGGGGUGUGGCCUGCACCAUCUUUUAUCUCUCAAGAGAUAAAAAGGAAAGGGAAUUAAGCAGAGAAGGGGGACCUCAUACCACCAAGAAAGUAGUGCCUGGAGCCGAGCGCGUCCUUUGGGCCCGGGGUUCCUGUGCGGAGAAGCCCCUAGUCCAGGAGGAGACUUAUGAGAAGGCUGACAGAGAGAGAAAGCCUUCCACCAGAGCUGAUGCCCUGCAUUUGGACUUCUAGCCUACUAGGCUGUGAGAAAAUAAAUUUCUCUUUGUUAAAGCCAUUCACUUAUGGUAUUUCUGUUAUGCAGCAUUAGAUGACUAAGACAGGUAUAUAAGCAAAGACCGAGAGUAAGAGUCCUGAAAGGAAAUAUCAACGCUUCCUCUUAGGUUACGGAAUAAGACACACAGUGAAUGAGCAAUAUAACAUUAACAAUGCAAGAAGAAAGAGAAUCCCGAACCUAAAAAAAAAAUUCUUUAAGCCAUGCCUGCAUUUGUAAUAUUGCUAAAACCUUAGUAGCUACUGGGGCCUGUAUUGGGGCCUGUCAUGGAUUGAAUUAUGUCCCCCCAAAAAUGUGUAUAUCAGCUUGGUUAGGCCAUGUGUAGUUGUCUUCCAUUUUGUGAUUGUAAUUUUAUGUUGAGAAGAUUAGGGUGGGAUUGUAACAUCACUUUUACUCAAGUCAACUCCCUGAUCCAAGGUAAAGGGAGUUUCCCUGGGUGUGGCCUGCACCACCUUUUAUCUCUCAAGAGAUAAAAGGAAAGAGAAGCAAGCAGAGAGUUGGGGACCUAAUACUACAAAGAAAACAGCACUGGGAGCACAGCACUUCCUUUGGACCUGGGGUCCCUGUGCCUAAGAAGCUAUUGACCGUGGAAAGGUUGAGGACAAGGACCUUCCUCCAGAGCUGACAGAGAGAGAAAGACUUCCUCUGGAGCUGACAUCCUGAAUUUGUGCUUGUAACCUACUAGACUGUGAGAAAAUAAAUUUCUUUUUGUUAAAGCCAUCCACUUGUGGUAUUUGUGUCAUGGCAGCACUAGAUGACUAAGACCAAAAACCCAUUGCUGUCGAGUCAACUGCGACUCAUAGUGACCCUACAGGACAGAGUAUAACUGCCCCACAGAGUUUCCAAGGAGUGCCUGGUGGAUUUGAACUGCUGACCUUUUGGUUAACAGCUGUAGCACUUAACCACUAUGCCACCAGGGUUUCUGAUGACUAAGAGAGGGACCUACAAAAACUGAUUUCAAGUUAAUUGUAUUGUGCCUAUAGAGUUGAUUUUCUACAGUGGAUUCAGGCACUCUCAACAGAUCUUUCCAAUGCCUUCCUUAAGGCCUAGAAAGCAGGUAGAAUACUGAUUAACAUCAAGAACUUUGGAGAAAAAUGCACAAAAAAACAACAAAAGACAAAUGAGAUAAUUGAGACCUCCUGAAAAUUAAAUAUUUAUGCUCAUCAAAGCACUUUACCAAAAGAGUAAAAAGAGUACCUACACAAUGUGAAAAAAAUCUUUGGUGACAACAUGUCUGAUAAGGGUCUAGACUCUAAAAUAUAUAGAAAACUUCAACAACUCAACAACAAAAAUAUAAACAAUCCAUAGCAAAGGACAUGAACAAAAUGUUCGCCAAAGAGGACAUUUAGGUGGCUAACACACAUGAAAAGAUGCUCGCGAUCAUUAGCCAACAAAGAGGUGCAAAUCAAAACUACAAUGAGAUACCAUCUCAUCCCUGCAAAAAUGACACUGAUCAAAAAAAAAAAAAAACAGAAACCAACAGACACUGGCCAGGUUGUAGGGAUACUGGAACUCUUAUACACUGCUGGUGGGAUUGUAAAAUGGUACAACUCUCAACGAGGUGAACCAACACAAUGGCUACAACUGUGGGCACAAGCAUAACAUUGAUCGUGAGGAUGGCACAGGCCUAGGCAGGGUUUCGGUCUGUGAGUGGCCAUCUAAGAUACAACUAUUGGUCUCUACUCAUCUGGAACAAAGGAAAAUGAAGGAAGCCAAAGACUCAAAGGGUCACUAUGAGUCAUAAUUGAAGUCAGAAAAUGAAGGAAGCCAAAGACUCAUAGGGUCACUAUGAGUAAGAAUAGGCUCAACGGCACCUAAUAACAACAAAAAGAACAACUCUGGAAAACUGCGUGGCACUUCCUCAAAAAGCUAGAAAUAGAAAUACCUUAUGAUCCAGCAAUCCCACUCCAAGGUAUAUAUCCUAAAGACAUAAGAGCAGUGAUAUGAGUGGACAUAGGCACACCUAUGUUUCAUUGCAGCAUUAUUCACAAUAGCAAAAGGAUGGAAACAACCUAAAUGCCCAUCAGUGGAUGAAUGGAUAAGUAAAAUGUGGUAAAUGCAUACAAUGGAGCACUAUGAAAUUAUAAAGAAUAACGAGGAGUCCAUGAAAUAUAACAUGGAUGAAUCUGAAGGACAUCAUGCUGAGUAAAAUAAGUCAAUCACAAAAGGACAAAUAUUGUAUGGUCCUACUUUUAUAAAAAGUCAAGAAUAGGUAUACACACAAAAAGUAACAUUCUUUGAUGAUUACCAGGGAUAGGAGGGUAUGGAAAGGGGAAUCACUUUCUAGAUAGUAAACAUUUGUUAUUUUUGGUAUGGGACAGGCAAUACCCAAUAUAGGUGAGGUCUGCACAACUUGACCAAGAUUAAAAAAAAAAAAAAAGACACAAAGAAGUAU